rnacentral:sRNA from 1 species
UUUUCUUCUUCUUCUUCUCCAACCCCAAUAAAUUCUCUCACCGAAGUUCGAACCCACAAAAGCCCAAUCUUCUUCUUCCUCACCGAACCCAUCCAAUUUCCUCACUCAACUCACAAAGCCCUCUUCUUCUCACCGAACCUACCCAAUUUCCUCACCUGCCACCAGCCAAACACUCUCUCCUCCUCCCACCACCCAAUUUUCUCCCAUCACACAAACUCUCUCUCUUCUUCUUGUAGACGGCAACUCACCCAAUUUCCUCAGUCCCACCACCCAAACUCUCGCCGAUUACGACCUGCAGGGACCUAAAAUUUUCUUUUGCGAAUUUCAGUCCCCCAGCUCGGCGAGAUCACUGUAUUGAAGCAGUAGGACGGUUCCGAUUCCAAGAAGCCUCUGCUCAUGGCCAUGAAGAUUCUGAUUUUACGACGUGUAACAGAGCAGCUCUAGCCGCAGGCGCUUGAAGGCGACAUGGCCCUGAUCGACAGUCUCUUCCGCCACAGUUCCGGCUGACGGAUUGGAUUCCGAAGCUCCGACAAUUCCGACUGAGAAAGAGGUCAAUAACAACAAGGAUCAGCUUGCAAAAGAACAGAGCAGAGCACAAGCAUUAUCAAUUUAUUUGCUGAAGUUUUGCAGCUGUCUGCACGUCUCCAACAAGCCACACCAAGCAUACAAUGGGCUUGCUCACCUGUAAAGCUCACUCUCCCUCUUUCCCUCCCACCAUUUUCUUCUUAUAAUUUUAUUGCUAACAUCAAUUUGUAUAUCGGUAAAAUAGGAGCUGUUAGAUUUUGAACACUAUAUGUAUGUAGAGUUGUCAACAACUACUAUAUAUUUUAUAUAAAAACUUUGUAUAUGUUUUGUAUAAAUAGUUUUUACAUAUUUACACACAACGCUUACAACACAUGUAGUUCCUCAUUCUAACACUUUUAUACAAUGCUUAUAAUCAAUUUGACAUUCAUGCGGCAAUGCAGGGGCUAAAGUUCUUGUACACACACACAUAAUGGAGUUUUGGAUGUGCCUAUAUACACACACACACAUACAUAACUGAAGACCUCAUAUACAUACUAUACACACACACACAUAAUGGAGCUUUUGAAUGUGCCUAUGUCCAGGUGAAAUCUGUAGUGCAGCACCCAACCAUCGGUUCUAGUAAUGCAUGCAGCUUUCUCUUCCCUUUCUAUCUCACCUCCCUUAUAGAGAAAAUGUGUGAGCUCUGCAUUCAUUAUCAGUACUCAGUAACACUCAGGCGGGUAGGAUUAACAAAAACAAAAUAAAACUAGAGCAUUGCUAAUCAUGAUAUUGACGCACCCAUGACCUUAUAGCUUAUACUCAUUUUGUUAUUUUUUUUUUCAUACAACGAUAUUGGGAGAGGAGCAAUUGAACUCGGGACCUCGUCUCAACCGAGCUAAAAAGUCCCCUUGCAACAUUAUAUAUACAGUUAUACUUGUCUAGUUGGAAUCUUGUAAUUUGGCAAGUAUAAUAAAAGCUCAAGCCUAAAAUUAGAACAUUGGUGUAAAAUGAAUAGAGUUAGUUGGUAAAUAAAUAGAAAAGAGGUUAAUUACCAGAAGUGGAAGGCCUCUCCCGCAACUAAACAGCAUCAUCUGUUUCCACUAUGCCUUCACCCUCUCACCAGAAGUGGAGGGCUUCUCAGGUAACUCAACAGCAUCCUUUGCUUCGACGAUGUCUUCGCCCUCAUCAUCAAAAUCAAAAUGAUAAUAUUCAGGCUGGAUUGUGAUGUUGGGGAUGUGAGAAAUCUUGGGCCACUCCUUUCCUCUGCCUUUUCGGCAACCUCGUGCAAGAUUACCAGAGCAGUUGAUGACAAGUGUCUGAAGUGGUGUUUUCCGCAAGAAGUCUGGCAGUGUUUUUAGUUGACUGCAGUACCCAAUCUGUAAAGAAGAAAGGCAUGGCAUUAUGAAACUCAACUCCAACCUUUUUUACUCCUUUCAUACUCAUAACGAUCAACCUUUCGAGGGACGGCAAUAUUCCCAAAGGAGGUAAAACUUCACAUUCAUUCCAAUCUGCAAGAUGAAGAAAUCUCAAAUUGUUGAAUGACAUGAUCCAGUUGGGGGCAGUGCUUCCAUUAUAGCCAUUGAUUCCUAAAUAUUCCAAAUUUGGAUGCGGUCGUAAGAAAUUCAGUGUUUCUGCACUUCUUCCACAAUCAGAAAAAUAUAUACUCAAAUUUGAGAGUUGUUGUUUGUUCAGUACUGGUCCUGGUCCAAGCCGCAAGUUGAUGUCAAGAGCUUCCCAGAUGCACUGAUCAAUCCACUCGCUGCAAACAGCGAAGGCAUGUACAUUGUUGUCGGAGGCUCAUCGGGGAAUAUCUACUUAAUGGGAGGUUAACUUUCCUAAUCAUUUUUUUUUUUUGUCUCUUUGAAUUGAUCUUUUUUUGAGCUCUGAAAUGCUGAUGGACAUUUUACGGAGCACACUCUUUUAGUCCCUCAAUAUCUAUUACAUGUCUUUUGCCUAUUAUUUACUGAUGCAUUCGUAUUCAUCCCCAAUAAACAAAAAAGCACUGCAUUCUUGAAAUUGCAUGUGUUUUGUAAUUUUCAUUUGCAUGUAAAUUUCUUAGGUUUGGAGCGUAGGAAGAGGGAGAUUAUUUAGAAAUAUUGUUUUCCCUACUAUAAUUGAUGCGAUUGCUCUAGAUCCUGCAAAGUUGUUACUUGCUUAGCAUAUGGCAUUUCUGGAAAUGAUUUGAUUUCUAGAUUAGAAGAUGGCGUGGUUCGAGUUUGGGAUGCUAGAACUCAUAAUAUUCUUCGCGUGUUCAAACAUGCAAAA